GGAGAGAUGGCCGAGUGGUUGAAGGCGCCUGACUCGAAAUCAGGUGACGGUGUGAGCCGUUCGGGGGUUCGAAUCCCUCUCUCUCCGCCA
rnacentral:tRNA from 1 species